GGAGCUCCUUUAAGCGGUGCGCUUAAUCCCCUCUCCUCGCGCCUCAGGAUGCAAAGAGGUACGUGGGGAGUUUCUUGCCUUUUGGGAAGUCUGAGGUCUUCUGCCAGCAUUCAGCACUGCCAAACGCAG